AUGCAGGAGAUUAAGCAAAUCUUUCUAGUUUCUAAUUUGGAUAGUAAUUUCACCCACCUUGGUCAUCCGCUUGUUCUUCCUGCUAAAAAUAGAGUUGCUGCUUAUAACUUUGUUAUUGACAAAUUUUUGAAUAAGCUGCCCACUUAUAAAGCCAACAUGCUUUCUCAUGCUGCUAGGCUUGAAUUAAUUCGUUCGGUUUUCUCGGCUAUUCCUGUCUAUUAUAUGGCUAAUAUCUUGUUUACUAAGAAACUCAUUGCUAAACUCACAGCUAUUAUUAGGAACUUCUGGUGGACAGGUGUGCGAGAAAAUGAUUCUAAGAAGAGUCUUUGUCUUAGAGCUUGGAAGGAUAUUUGCAAUUCUAAAGAUGAAGGUGGUCUGGGCAUAAAGAAUCUGAAGGCCAUUAAUGAGAGCCUUCUUCUGGCUGCUGUGUGGAGGUUAGCCAAACUUCCUUCUUCUCACUUGUAUCUUGUGCUUAAGUCUAAGUAUUUUCAUGAUACUUCUAUUUGGAAAGCUACUGCAACUCCUCCUAAAUCUGCUUUUUGGGCUUCUAUUUUGAAAAUGUUACCCAAUCUUAAGGCUCAUUCUUUCUAUCAAUUAACUCAAGGUAGCAUUACAAUUUGGAGCAUGCCUUGGUGUGCUCAUUGGGAUACUAUCCAUGAUCAUCUCAUUCCACAGCAAGCUGGCUUUAGUUAUCCCUCUUUAGUUAGAGAUCUCUGGCUUCCGGGGCAAAAAACUUGGAAUCAGGACUUUGUUUUCUCGCUUUUUCGGCAGCCUAUUGCUUCUCUCAUUGUUAAAACUGAUAUUAUUGAUGAUGAUGGACCGGAUUUGCUUUGUUGGGAUCUUACUCCUAAUGGCAUUUGCUCUGCAAAGUCUGCUUACAAGCUUAAUUUGCAGCAGAUUUAUACUAAUCCCAGAAAUGUGCCUGUUGCUAUUCCCUUGGAUUUGAAAAAUCUUCUUAAGUUGAUUUGGAAACAAAAAACUAUGCUUCCUAGGGUGCAAACUUUUGCCUGGAGAUUACUUAGAAAGGCUUUACCUACUGGCUUGCGUGCUGGUCGUUUCUCGAUUCACAUUUCUCAGAUAUGUUGUCGAUGUGGUCAGCAGGAGGAUGAGUUUCAUCCUUUCUUCCUUUGUCAUUUUGCUCGUGUGGCCUGGUUUUCCUCUCCUUGGUUUCUCAGAUCUGAAGUUUUACUUCAAGGCCAUUCUACGAUGCAUUCAGUGCUUAUUGCUCUCAUUCAAAUGGACCACCCAAAUGGUUCUAUUCCAAAUAUCCUCAAUUUUCUGUGGUGCCUUUGGAAAGCACGUAAUGAUUUUCUUUUUGAUAGAAAGAAAGCACUUCCUUACCAAGUUAAUAUUGCAGCUAUUGCUUUAAAUUUGGACUUUGAUGGUGUUCUUUCAUGCCUUUGUAAUAAGCAACAGCAGGUUCAAGCUUUCAGAUCAAAUAAAGUCCCUGGCCUUCCACAAGGAGAGGUUGCCACAGGUGUUGGAAUUUUCAUCUCAAUUCCAUCUGACCAAGGAGAAAUCAAUGUUCAAGUUCAAGCCUCGGCUUCGUCUACUUCUACUCCUUUGCAAGCUGAAGCCAUUGCUCUUACUUCUGCUGCUCAUAUUGCCUCUCAGCUUAAUAUUGCUCAUCCAAUUUUUUUAACUGACUAUCUUUCUCUUGCUAAGUGUGCUGCUCUGAGAAACACCUUGGAUUCCUCUAUUCCUUGGAAUAUUAGAAAGGAUCUGGCCAUCUUCUUUAAACACACUUCUGCUUUGCAUCCUAAGGUGUUUCAUAUUUCGAGAGAAAUUAAUGGGAUUGCUCAUGAUCUUGCGCAACAGGUUUUUAGAUCUACUGGGAACACUCAAGUUUGUUGUUUUGCUCAAAACCACUCUUCUAUAUCCUGUCAUGUUGUGUCCCUCAUAUCAAAUCUUCAAAUUCCUGGUGUUAAGUUACACACUGUUCACUGCUAUUAG
rnacentral:rRNA from 1 species